rnacentral:rRNA from 1 species
AUUGAACGCUGGCGGCAUGCUUUACACAUGCAAGUCGAACGGUAACAGGUUAAGCUGACGAGUGGCGAACGGGUGAGUAAUGCAUCGGAACGUGCCCGAUCGUGGGGGAUAACGCAGCGAAAGCUGCGCUAAUACCGCAUACGAUCUGAGGAUGAAAGCGGGGGACCGUAAGGCCUCGCGCGAUCGGAGCGGACGAUGUCAGAUUAGGUAGUUGGUGGGGUAAAGGCUCACCAAGCCAACGAUCUGUAGCUGGUCUGAGAGGACGACCAGCCACACUGGGACUGAGACACGGCCCAGACUCCUACGGGAGGCAGCAGUGGGGAAUUUUGGACAAUGGGCGAAAGCCUGAUCCAGCAAUGCCGCGUGCAGGAAGAAGGCCUUCGGGUUGUAAACUGCUUUUGUACGGAGCGAAAAGGUCUCCUCUAAUACAGGGGGCUCAUGACGGUACCGUAAGAAUAAGCACCGGCUAACUACGUGCCAGCAGCCGCAGUAAUAC